GCGUGGUACAGACAAUGAGUGCAUUUGUCUGUAGGGCGGGAAGCGGUUUCCCAGAGCGCACGAGAUUUGCAUAGGUGAAAGGGAACUCAUCUUUUACAGAAGAUGAAUUAUUCUAAAGGAAUCUUGCCCUAGGUUGUUUAGAGUACGGGUGCAUACAGAUUUCCUGGAUGAAACAGGAGGUGCUGCUAGCAAAAUGCCUUCUUUCUCACCUCGUGCAAUGUAAAAUAACCGAUACCACACUAAAAGCAAAUAUUUAAAAGUCGGAGGUGUAUCCGUGAGCCCCAGACACCGCCUUAGAAUCGUUUUCAAGCAACCACUUCUCUCAAGUUCACGCAAAGGAAAGGGAGGAAGAUGAGCAGAGUUUUAUUCGAGGAUCGUUGGAAGCAAGGAAUGCAGAUGAGCCUGAGGAACGGAUGGACCUGAACCAGAAGACAGCACGUCUAAAGCACCUAAUCUCUGUCUACUCGAGUUUUCUGUCUGUUCCUUUAUCCAACUCUGUUGUACACAGCAGGAUUGGACUCUGGCUCCUGGCUUUAUAGUUCUAAUCACCCGGAGGACCUGACUGGAGACCUCUCCCUCCCAGUUCCAACUGUCUUAAGGGAAAAGUAAGGAAUCCGAGUGGCCCAGCUCAGAUUAGGUGACCAUCACCAAGAAACUUAACAAUACUUCAUAUUCUGGCGAUGGCAGAUAUGGGAAAGAGUGGGCAGGAAGAUUCGGCCAAUGGAAGAGAG
rnacentral:lncRNA from 1 species